UCGUAUUGUGUGUCUGUGUGUGUGGGGGGAAAACGGAUACGGACUUGACUUGUCUCGCUGACUUAGGGUCGGUCGAGACAUUGCCUGAACAUAAAUGCCUGAGCUUGUGGCUCACUCUAACCCCCAGAGGGGCUGUGUGCUCUCGGAUUACUUUUCAUUUUUGGCAUGGAUCUGUCCCAACAACAAAUCUGUCCCGAAAAGACACUGACUUUUGUCAAAGUACAAAUUGUUAUCUGCGCUGAGCCGCAGAAUCAUAAUUGAUACAGACAAUGCUCUCAUUUGUACUGUCACAGAUUUUCGGCUACUUUCGCUUAUUGGUUUGGUUUGCUUUGGCCGCCGCGGUGCUCUCUGGGGUUAUCAUGGGGUCUAAAAAUGCGAUUAAUAAAGCAAUUAUGCUGCGGCACUACUGUGAUGUCCGCUUGGGAUCUGAGUUCAUUGCCCAGCCAAAGGUUGCUCAUUGGGUGCUGAGAAUUCCUCAAAGCUGUGCCAUGUGCCAUAGACGAUUCCAUAUGAUAACCAUAAUUUUUGUCUAAUUAAAUAUUUCAGCGGCAACUCAAUUUCAUAAUUCAUUUCAAAAACUUCAAUAUGUGUCUAUGUAUAAUCUAUGCCCAAACAGAAGUCUAAAUUCUAAAAGUUACACAUGUAAAUUCUGUGCAACUGAUUUGAAUAUCCAAUUACAUGCGAAUUCGUGAUUUGUCGAAUAACAACAACAGAAAUGAAGAAGAAGAACUUUUGCGUGUUCGGCUGCUACCAAAAUGCAGCACUCAAUAAUAAUUGGCAAAGCGCCUCCCUCAUUGAUGGAAACCAAAUUGAAAUUCCAGCGAAAAGUGCCCCCAAAAUGGGGAAUUCACACAGAAUUCAAAACUCAAAUACGAUGUGCUGUUUGCCAUGUAUUUUCCAAAGUAAAGAGCGGCCCUGCUGCAGGUCUCUCUUACAGUGUUUUCUCUUCGCUUUCGAAAACACUCUCUUUACCCACAUAAAAUGCACCGAACGAAUGCCGGGUUUUGGCCGAGAGUGUGUGUGCGUGUGUGUGUGUGUGUGGGCCUUUACUACGUUCUCCUCUCGCGCGUAUCUCUCAGAUACAUUACUCUCUCUCUCUCUCUCACGAGUAGUAGUAGUAGUAGUAAAACAUGGCAUAUGCGGGGCCCCUAGCGUCGUGGCGGCCUUCUCCCUUCCAGUGCGCCGUUCCAGACGCGACCCAAGAGAGAUACAUUUCGGACCAACAGUGCUCAAUGCUCUACUCUCGCAGCGUUAUGUUGUUCGUGUUUGUUCGUGUCGUUUCCGCCGCUUCGAAUGCGACUCUGAGACCUGGCACUCGGCCGUAGACCGAAUAGUCCGAAUUUUACUCUCAAACUGUACGGUUUGACAGCAGCGCAGUUGAUAGCAGAAUAUCAGUAUCGCAGAGAGAGUGCAGAGAGGUGGCAGGCAGGGCAAGGCAGCGCGUCGUGUGUUUUCUUCUUUCUUCCUUCAACAAAAAAUCUGCCACACUGCCACAAAAAACAACAACAGUUGUUCCACAAAGAGAUAGAGAUAGAGAGAGAGUAUCCAAAAGUUUAAACAAUUAAAAGUGAGUGUUGGAAAAAGUGCAACAAAUAUCAGAAUAUCAGAAAAUAACACACAAAAAAACAGUCUGUGGGCUACAGUGCAAUACCAAAUCGAACACUAAACCAUUCCAACUAAAACUUGUUUAACUUUUGAUCCAAGUGCAAUAAACAAACAAAAAUCCACUACAAAAAAUCAACGAAACAUUUUUUGUGACGCUGUGUUCAUUGUUUUGC